GUGAGGAGUAAACACCUCAGGCUCCUUUCUCAAUAUAGCAUGCCAAAGCAGCUGUAUCCCAGUGUUUUUGUUGCUGUGCCACCACUCUGAAUUGAAACCUUCUUUUCUUCCCUUUCUUUCCUAGUUUCUGGUUGUAAAUAUAUUCUGUGUUUGUCCAAAUGCUUUGUGGAUGAUGAACUACUCAGUGGGAGGAACCAAGUGCAAGCAAGCAAGUGGAGCCCAAGCCACAGAUUUAAGCCUCUUGUGUGUCACUGGGGCUGAGCUGUACUUUGCACUGCUGCACUGUACUGACUGGCUGACUGUUGUUGCCAUCCUGCCCGCAUUUGUGCUGUGAUUUUAACAGUUAAUUGUGUUAUGUGGCCAUGGAGCCAGAAAAGGGAAGGGCCAAGUGAGGGCAAGAGGGAAGAGAGUUGUUUUGGGAGUAGAGGUAGUGGCUGGAGAGAGGCAGAGACUGAGGGGCUGCUGGUGUCAGAACAGGGGCACUCAAGUGUCCCAACUACCAGGCUUGAUGCAGCAUGAAGGUCCAGAUUUGGGGCAGGGACUGGAAUUGAAGUGAAAGACUUUCUAUAUUACACUAAAAUUCUCCCUUCCUAUCUUUAGAGGCCUGCAUUGUUUGUGGGUCUCCCAGUUCAAAAUUGGCAAAGCUGUUAGUGUGGGCUUGUGGGUGGGAUCGGGUGGAGUGGGGGAGAAGACAUAGGCUGGACGAGGGCUGAAUCACAUGGGGGGAGACAAACCCCCUAUCAAGACUGCAAGUAAGCCUCCCCUCUGCAAUGCUCUCUUCUUCUUCUGGUGGUGGUCUUUGAAUUCCUACUUGGGCUGUGGUUCAGAGCUACUGGAGUGCAUAGAAAACAGUUCUAAAAACUGUGUCCAUGAUGUGGGACCUCAGGGCAUGCAACAUGGAACAUGCCUGAUUUGUGAGUGAACAAAUGGGUGACUUGUGGAUCUUAGAGAUGGCCCCCCAUCUUGUUUAGUUUUGGAGUUCAGUGUUUUUUUGUUUUUUUUUUUUUCGGUUUUUUUUUAAAACAAGAGCAUAAGAAGAUCCUUGCAUCCUGUCCUGUGCCUGACCCAUGAGCUGUGAAGACGUCCAUCCACUCAUGCAUUAAUCCAUACUGAGUGGAGUGAUUGGGAGUGUAAAUUGCCCCAAGGACUGAGCUGCCAAGUCUGUUCUACCCCCUUGCAAAGCACACUCUAUUGUCCUGCAAGGAGAUUCUGGGUUAGCUGGUUUUGUCGUCUUUCUGUGGGGAGUGUGGCAUUAUCUGUGUUCUUGUGCCCAUUUCUCUCAACAUCAGAAGGGGGGAGAAGAGAAGGGGCACUGGUGAGCUCACUGACUGACUGACAGGUGUUUGUCACACUUAAAAGAAGUCUUUGGCACCUGCCUCUCUUUCUCUCUUCCAGAUGCAUGAGUCACACUACCAUCAAGAGCUCUUACAUUUCCAGACAACAGAACAUGAUACAAACUACAUUACUAUGUACUACAGCUCCUUCUCUGUGAUCUGCAACAGUGAUUUUUUUUUUUGCAUGUGGCUAUUGCCACAACACCUUUUACUUGGCACACAGAAACCCUAAAAUCUGGAAUGACCCAAAUUUUUGUGCUAGUAGUCUAAUUAUCUGUGCGCUUAGCAGAUGUGUGUGGAUAGCAGAAAUUUUUGUGCACUUAACUACAAUGCACAUUUCGAGCCAUGUCAGUUGUCAUGUCUUUCUUUGUUGAAGGCAGGCUGUGAUUUACCAAGGAUCGAACCAACUUGGGCAUACAGGUGUACUGCACAAGCGAGGAACUGAGAGUCAUUGUUUGGGGAAUGAAUUGGGAAAUUAUUGGUAUUCACUGAAUGGAGUUUCAAAUCUCUUCUCUCUCUGAAUGUAUUGUUCAAUUUUGUGAGCAUAGCCAAGCAUCACAACUCCAAUGUACAAAUUAUAUAGCUACAUAUUACAGCAUGUGAUACAUUACUAGAUGUCAAUUAUUACAUACAAACAUUGGGGUUUAGAGUGCAUGGUGAGAUCAGGAUGUGAGGGCUCCACAAGGGUGUGAGGAGCUGUAAGAAACACACAAAAGGUUCAUGUUGCAUGGAGUAGAAGCAGGCACUAGUUGGUCCUUGCUGGGAACAUGUGAUAGGAGGGGGGAAGACAAGGGACAGCAGGAAGAGGAGAAGAAGGGGAGACUUAGGACAUUUCCACUGCAAGCAACAUGGUUUCUCCCCCCCUCUUCCUCACAAUUAACCAAGCUCAAGCACAGGGUGUGAGCUCAACUGGACAUGAGGCAGGCAGAGGAGGAAAAUGUGAUUGGUGCAUGGUGUCGGUGGGCUGCCACAAAUAUUAAAAACAAGAGACAACAAACAAAGAAGGGCAGCAAUAAUGGCCUACCCUCAUGGGUUUGGCCGAGAAGACCCUUCAAAGUGGGAGGAAGGCCGAGGGCAAUUGUAACCAUUGCAGAAUUUGCCACAUACCCAGCUCCCUCUAUUGAUCUCUCAUUGUGCACUGUAGCCCAAUUCACUCCCAUUCAAGUAUUUUCCCUUUGGCAGCUUUACUUGUCAGUGCAUCUGGGCUUGCUCAGGGACCUUCCCAUCACAGCCAAGCGCCUCAGUGGCUUUGUCUUCACUGCCCAUAAUCAACUGCCGCUUCAGCUCUCUUUGUGUGCUGCAGUGAACUGUCAGAGAUCAAACAAAGAAGAAGUGGUACAAGAAAGAAUGAGAAGCAACUGAAGGAUGGAGAGACAAAGACAAAAAGGAAGGCAACAGCUGCUGGGAAGGGCAGUGCAUUUUUGGACUCUUCAAGCUCUUCUUUGGGAAGCUUCUGGAGCUUUUGGACUCCUCAGCCCCAAUUCUGUGUCCUUGGCAGGUUUACUUUUGGCUUCGAAUUUUGGAUGGCACUGGAAGUUACUGUCUCCACAUGGAAGCUUCUCCCUCCUCCCUCAUUCUGACGCGUUCCCUCUCUCUGUUUGCUGCACGGCUUCUUGUCUCAUGCUCUGGCCCACAAAUGAUGGUGAUCAUGAGGUGGCAUUCUUUUUAAAUACUAGAACAUCCUUUAGAGUUGAUUUUGCAGAAUAAGUGCCCAGUUUGCACUCUGACAUUUUUACUUCCUUUGUCCUUCAUCCUUGAGUAUUCACAGACAUAGAUGUUGGGUUGUUGCUGCAAAUUUUGUCAGCAGCUUACUACCGUCCAACGAAUUGUUAGGAGUCCCUAAAACAUUGGUGAGAAGGAUACAGAGUGUAGAGUUUGAGGGUUUUUGUGUGUAUAUAUAUAUAUAGAUAGAUAAACGUAAUAUCAUUUUUGAACAAUUAGACACAAUGAAAAAUUUAAGGUGUAUUAAAAUGCUCUUGUGCAAGGAACCAUUAGGAUUUUCUAUUUUUCCAGUACAAGAUACCAGCUCGGUACCUAUUCCACAAUGGCCCUUGAGAAUGCAGUGGAUUUUCUAUUGCUUUCUUCCAUUAGAGAAAUCUUGGAUGUUUUUACUUUGACCCACAAUAUAAUUGCUUUUGGUUUUAAUAAGCUUAUCUAAGGCUCCUGUGGUUGUAGUCCAAGCUUGCUACUUAAACAAUUUCAAAUGAGGGAUUGAAGUUGUUCAUUUUAUCACAGAAUACACAAAAUACUGGAGGAAACAUGACUGCACGAAUCUGCUAUUGUGGGUGGUUCAUCCAUUGACAAGUUCACCAUUGAAGAGGUUGAUCCAAAUUUCAUUCUACACCUUCGGUACAAUUUUGGUUCACAAACACUUGAAACGACAAUUUUACAUAUUCAAGGCAGGUUUUAGUCAGGUGAUGAGCAAUCUUCGUUCUGCUCUCGUUUCAAAGAGUUUAGCUUAAUUAUUGAUUUUUAUACGUGGGUUUACUGGACACAAUGCAUUGUAACCAUGGAGAUUGCAGAGAUUCAAAUGAAUCAUACAUGUAUGUAUUUUUUUGCUCAAAAUACUUGCAUCAUCAAUCCCUUCAUUGUAAUUUUUCGGAACAAGGAUGGCAAGAGAGAGGAUUUGAUGUGUUGUCUCUCAGCCAAUGAGGAGUUCAUUCCUCGGUGAAGCUCUGUCGCGGAGCCGUGUCAGUUAGAAUCAGAUUCGUCAUCUUUCUCACGCGCACAUGAAACGCUCAUUCUGAUGCGCGCGAAGUGUCUCGUGCUCCAGUUAGCAUCGUCUGCUCUGCCACAGCGGGAAUGCCCUGCCACCGCGCCGUCUCGCUCCUCCGUAAGAUCUCACUUGCGUCAUGUUGUUGAAGAUCAGAGUGGGGUGUUGCACCUGAGCUUAUUCUGUUGUACCAAGCAGAGAUGAUGAGAGGGAUGAGUUGGGGAUGGAGGUUUAGGAGAAGUUCGUGGUAAUGAUGAUGAUGAUGAUGGCGGGGAACGCGACAGAGAUCAAGAGUUGUGUAGGGACAUGGGUGCUGCGACACUAUUAUGGAUGGACUACCUGCUGCAGAGAGCAAUUUGUCGAGUCCCACAUCGGUUGGGUUUAUCUCCGUGUUCUUCGAGCAGGAUGUGCUGUGCUGAAAUGCUUCGCUAGGGUAUAUGCUGCCGGCCAUUUUCAAGGAUAAUCGCCCUUACCUUGUGCUCGGACAACCAUGAUUAAGGCAGCAUCAUUGCUAUAUGAACGUUUCAGCUAGACUGGCGGUGUGAGCAAAUCCGAUGGCUGAGAAAAUUGUCGUAUCCAUAAGCUCUGUAAAGCAUUACUUUGUGAUUCAUGAAGUCCUUGCUUUCUCGAAACUGUGUUUCCAGAAAGAAUCCUAUCUCAAAGAGGUAGGUACUCUGAAAUGGGUCAUCAUCUGCGUGCACAUCGACUUGUGUGAUUGUACAGGGCGGAGUAGCUUUUGGACUCUGGUGUAAAUCCGGAGCCAACACUAUUGGUGCUGAAUCGUGCUGGGCGUUGCUGAGGUGUACUUCGUGCAAUGAUGAAUUCUUGUUGCUUGUAAGCUGUUUACAAAGUGGGCAGAUUCGAACCAUCGUAUUAACGAGACUAAUAAGAUCCCGAGCGAAAGAGCCUUUUCAUAUAUGGUAAGACGAUUGACUGCAGAAUGUCGCCGUUCUGCAUCAUCAAUAUGAAUGCAAAGCCUUGCCGAUUUUUUAGUUUC